rnacentral:tRNA from 1 species
GCGCCUGUAGCUCAGCGGAGAGAGCGGCUCCCUAACGAAGAGUCAGGUCGAGGGUUCGAAUCCCUCCAGGCGCA